rnacentral:rRNA from 1 species
GAUGAACGCUGGCGGCGUGCUUAACACAUGCAAGUCGAACGAUGAUCUCCAGCUUGCGUGGGGGGAUUAGUGGCGAACGGGUGAGUAACACGUGAGUAACCUGCCCUUAACUCUGGGAUAAGCCUGGGAAACUGGGUCUAAUACCGGAUAUGACUCCUCAUCGCAUGGGUGGGGGGUAGGAAAGUCUUUUUGUUGGUUUUGGAUGGACUCGCGGCCUAUCAG